AGACUUCUACGGGAGGCAGCAGUGGGGAAUAUUGGACAAUGGGCGCAAGCCUGAUCCAGCCAUGCCGCGUGAGUGAAGAAGGCCCUAGGGUUGUAAAGCUCUUUCAGCGGGGACGAUAAUGACGGUACCCGCAGAAGAAGCCCCGGCUAACUUCGUGCCAGCAGCCGCGGUAAUACGAAGGGGGCUAGCGUUGUUCGGAAUUACUGGGCGUAAAGCGCGCGUAGGCGGAUAUUUAAGUCAGGGGUGAAAUCCCAGGGCUCAACCCUGGAACUGCCUUUGAUACUGGAUGUCUGGAGUUCGGGAGAGGUGAGUGGAAUUCCGAGUGUAGAGGUGAAAUUCGUAGAUAUUCGGAGGAACACCAGAAGCGAAGGCGGCUCACUGGCCCGAUACUGACGCUGAGGCGCGAAAGCGUGGGGAGCAAACAGGAUUAGAUACCCUCGUAGUC
rnacentral:rRNA from 1 species